GACGAACCGUGCGAACGUUAUUCGGAAUUACUGGGCGUAAAGGGUGCGUAGGCGGUUAUUUAAGUCUGCCGUGAAAUCCCCGGGCUCAACCUGGGAAUGGCGGUGGAUACUGGAUAGCUAGAGUGUGUCAGAGGAUGGUGGAAUUCCCCGGUGUAGCGGUGAAAUGCGUAGAGAUCGGGAGGAACACCAGUGGCGAAGGCGGCUUCCUGGACCUGAUCUGACGCUGAGGAGCGAAAGCGUGGGGAGCAAACAGG
rnacentral:rRNA from 1 species